AGGAUUAGCGUUUUGUUUACGCUAAUUGUAGCCUCGGCUAUUUUGGUGUUCUCCUAGUCCGGUAGUAGUUAAGCGCUAUUUGGUGACUCUCUGGUGGUUAUAUCUGUAAACAGCAGAAUGUGCACAGAGGAACUGAAGUCACACAGAAAGAACUACAGAAGAGGAGUUUGCUGGACAACACGAGCAGAGCUACUGAGCCACGUUACCACGUAGGAGUAUUAACAAGGUGCCACUGGAGAGGUGAACAGCCCGGCUCUAAAUACUGCAGGGGUGGAUCAUGGAAUGUGGAUCAGCUGUGUAGGAAUGGAGCAGGAUGAACGGCCACGCCUCCUCACCUGCUUCCUCUAGACACGCCCCUUUUCUCUUCUGGUUGAUGCUUCAGCAAAACCAGAGCUACAAGACAAAGAGUUUGGCGGCUAAUCCGGUUGAUGCGCGUGAAUCAAACAUCGUGGACGUGAACUUCCUCGCUCGCGAGGUUAAUCUCUGCUCGCGCUCGAAGGUGUUGUUAUUGACAGCAAGGGGGCGGAGCCAGUCACCGGCAUCUCCACGUCUGAUUGGUUCCACUCUUCGUGCUUGGAUUGGCUGGAUUUCGUCCCCGUUGACCGUUGUGAAUCCCCAGAACUGAUGGAGCAGGAUGAACGGAUCGGAUUAACGGUACCUGAGGUGUGCAAGUGGUACAUGAAGACAGACAAUGUCCCUCUCUGUCUUCUUCACAAAUGGCUGUGGAAACCCCUCACGACACGCUACAUCCAGACGGAGGAAGAUGAAGCAGCACUUUUCUUGGUACCCAAAGACGCUUAAGAAGAAGAAGAGGAGAAGAAGAAGAGGAC
ensembl:lncRNA